GAGACACCCUUAUGGGGCAUGACUUGCUUCAGUGGGGCUUUGGUGCUCACUGAGUCUGCCCCCUGAGUGUGUCCCU
rfam:Myotis lucifugus cont2.4654, whole genome shotgun sequence.